rnacentral:rRNA from 1 species
CCUACGGGAGGCAGCAGUGGGGAAUAUUGGGCAAUGGGAGAAAUCCUGACCCAGCGACGCCGCGUGAACGAAGACGGCCUUCGGGUUGUAAAGUUCUUUUAUGUGGGAAGAAGGAAGUGACGGUACCACAUGAAUAAGCCCCGGCUAACUACGUGCCAGCAGCCGCGGUAAUACGUAGGGGGCGAGCGUUGUCCGGAAUUACUGGGCGUAAAGGGCACGCAGGCUGUGCUUCAAGUCAGCUGUAAAAGGAUGCGGCUUAACCGUGUUAUGCAGUUGAGACUGAGGUGCUGGAGUACCGGAGAGGCAAGUGGAAUUCCCAGUGUAGCGGUGAAAUGCGUAGAUAUUGGGAAGAACAUCGGUGGCGAAGGCGACUUGCUGGACGGUAACUGACGCUGAGGUGCGAAAGCCAGGGUAGCGAACGGGAUUAGAUACCCUAGUAGUC